rnacentral:rRNA from 1 species
AUUGCUAGACGUCGGGAACGACAGUUUUCGGUGUCGCAGCUAACGCAUUAAGCAAUCCGCCUGGGGAGUACGGUCGCAAGAUUAAAACUCAAAGGAAUUGACGGGGGCCCGCACAAGCGGUGGAGUAUGUGGUUUAAUUCGACGCAACGCGAAAAACCUUACCAGCUCUUGACAUGGUGAUUAUGGGGUGUAGAGAUAUACCUCUUCGGUUCGGCCGGGUCACACACAGGUGCUGCAUGGCUGUCGUCAG